GCAAAGCAGUCUUAAACUUACAUGAUCAAUGACUACUGUUUUUUAUUUAUUCAUUUUUGGCUGUGUUGGGUCUUCGUCGCUGCACCCGGGCUUUCUCUAGUUGUGGUACUCGGGCUUCUCACUGUGAUGGCUUCUCUUAUUAUGGAGCACAAGCUCUAGGGCAUGUAGGCUCUGUAGUGGUGGCUCCCAGGAUCUAGAGCACAGGCUCAGUAGUUGUGGCGGGAUCGAACCCGCAUCUCCUGUAUUGGCAGGCAGAUUCUUUACCACAGGGCCACUUGGGAAGCCCAUGGACGCCAAAUGAACAUCCCACAUGAAGCAGCUGAUAUAUAUGAAUGUAAACCAUGUGAGGUGGGCUUUGUGAUGACCAAGAUAUUUACCUGAUGAACAUGCCCAUUACCCAAGUCAUGGUAAAUGCUGUGGUUAGAAGAGACCCUUUCACACGGGCACCCCAUAUAAUGCAAUUGUUGCAAAACCAAAAUACAGUGCAGGAAGCUUUAUUGAGUUUCCUGUCCCAGCUUUCCUAAAUAGGUCUUACAGAUGCAACCAAGUAAAAGGCUCAGGUACCCACGGCGCAGAAAGCCAAGCUGUGACAACAGGCGUUUGCAGCAAGUGCCCCAUACACAGCUCUCCACCGACAGACAAAGAGCACUUUGGUUUGUGGAUGGCCGUUCCAAGAUAAAUGGACGAGAUUCUUGUUGGAAGGCUACCGGUCUGAUUGAAGAAGGGGACACAGGUUUAGCCCCUGCUCUGGGAAGAUUCUGCUGCUCAAGGAGCAACUAAGUCCGUGUGCCACAACUCUGAAGCCUGCGUGCCUAGAGCCUGUGCUCCACGAUGAAAGAAGCCACAGCAAUGAGAAGCCCGUGCAUUGCGACUAGACAGUUGCCCCAGCUCACUGCAAUAAAGUCCACUCGUAGCAAUGAAGACCCAGGGCAGCCAAAAAUAAAAAUAAAAUCUCAAAUGACUAUAUUUCUCCCUGACAUCCCUUUAAUAUGAAAUACCCAUCCCUCCUCACAGCACUGCAAAGAUGAACACAGUGGCCAUGACUUGAUCAGAUUCACAAUUCUCUCUCUUUCCUUCAGCACCAAAUCAAGGUCAAAAGGUGUCUUGUUAACUGCACCCCCUCCCCAGCCUCCCCCCGAUUCUCUGCCAACCAAGGGUACGUAGACCAACUUCUUCAGGCCAGCACUCCAUCAGCACCCUUUUCCGGCCACUCAAAGAAAACAUUAAUUCACAGGAUGAACAUUAGUUACAAACAACCGAAUCUCAUUCUCAGUGACUCAGGUUUUCAGUGGUAAAAAUUUAGCAAGCACAUCUGCCCCAUAAAUGCACUGCAGAAAAGCCCAGGGCUGAUUCAGACUUUCCACACCAGUGACUUCAUCCAAGUAUAAAGUGAUAUGGUUCCUAGGUCACACACGAGUUAGUCAUCGCUACCUCACUGUACAAGCUUCCCACGUGGGGCAAGUGGUAAAGAACCCUCCUGCCAAUGCAGGAGAUUCAAGAGACUUGGGUUCAAUCCCUGAGUCAGGAAGAUUCCCGGGAGUAGGAAAUGGCAACCCACUCCAGUAUCCUUGUUUGGAAAAUUCCAUGGACAGAGUUACUGGUGGGCUACAGUCCAUGGGGUCACGAAGAGUUGGACACAACCGAGUAUGCAUGCAAGCACCACUAUUUAUAAAAUAGAUUUAAAAAAACAAGAAUGUACUGUACAACUCAAGGAACUAUAUUCAAUAUCUUGUAAUAAUCUGUAUGGAAAAGAAUCUAACAAUAUAUACACUUACAUACAAAACUGAAUCACUUUGCUGUACAUCAGAAACUAACGCAAUGUUAUAUAUCAAAUAUACUUCCACAAAAAGGAAAAUAAAAGA